UGGGGAAUAUUGCACAAUGGGCGAAAGCCUGAUGCAGCGACGCCGCGUGCGGGAUGAAGGCCUUCGGGUUGUAAACCGCUUUUGAUUGGGAGCAAGCGAGAGUGAGUGUACCUUUCGAAUAAGCACCGGCUAACUACGUGCCAGCAGCCGCGGUAAUACGUAGGGUGCAAGCGUUAUCCGGAAUUAUUGGGCGUAAAGAGCUCGUAGGCGGUUUGUCGCGUCUGGUGUGAAAGUCCAUCGCUUAACGGUGGAUCUGCGCCGGGUACGGGCAGGCUAGAGUGCGACAGGGGAGACUGGAAUUCCCGGUGUAACGGUGGAAUGUGUAGAUAUCGGGAAGAACACCAAUGGCGAAGGCAGGUCUCUGGGUCGUCACUGACGCUGAGGAGCGAAAGCGUGGGGAGCGAACAGGAUUAGAUACCCUGGUAGUCCACGCCGUAAACGGUGGAUGCUGGAUGUGGGGCCCAUUCCACGGGUUCCGUGUCGGAGCUAACGCGUUAAGCAUCCCGCCUGGGGAGUACGGCCGCAAGGCUAAAAAC
rnacentral:rRNA from 1 species